GUGCUUGCUUGGGCAGCACUCAUAAUAAAACUGGAACACUACCCAAGAUGGUUAGCGCAGCCCAUGUGCAAGCAUAACACAACUUCAUGAAGCAUUCCAUAUUUUU
ensembl:snRNA U6 U6 spliceosomal RNA